rnacentral:rRNA from 1 species
AGCGAACGCUGGCGGCAGGCCUAACACAUGCAAGUCGAACGGAUCCUUCGGGAUUAGUGGCGGACGGGUGAGUAACACGUGGGAACGUGCCCUUUGGUUCGGAACAACUCAGGGAAACUUGAGCUAAUACCGGAUGUGCUCUCCGGUGGAAAGAUUUAUCGCCAUUGGAGCGGCCCGCGUCUGAUUAGUUAGUUGGCUAGGUAACGGCCCUCCAAGGCGGCGAUCAGUAGCUGGUCUGAGAGGAUGAUCACCCACACUGGCACUGAGACACAGCCCAGACUCCUACGGGAGGCGGCAGUGGGGAAUCUUGCGCAAUGGGCGAAGGCAUGACGGAGCCAGGCCGCGUAAAUGAUGAAGGUAUUGAGAUUGUAAAAUUCUUUCAGCGGGGACGAUAAUGACGGUACCCGAAGAAGAAGCCCCGGCUAUCUACGUG